rnacentral:lncRNA from 1 species
GGGCUACUGACGGCAACCGUAGGGAUGGCGACCGUGUAACCGUCCGAACUGACCUACCCCCAUCUAUGAAACGCGAGCGUGGUCAUCUAGCAUCAGUUACAGAGAACAUUCGCAGAACCAAGCAAUUGAAAACCAGGAUAAGGAUUCAAGGAACCAAAGUACUGCUGCAGACUAAAAACCCUAAUGCACCUUCUUCACAGUGGUCAACUUGGACUGAGUAGAUUUACUUAUCACAUGCAACAUCAUGACUAUGGUAAUUAUGAAUAUCAUUGGAGACCGAGUCAAAUUCAAUCCCCAUAACUUUGCAAGGACGAAUGGAGUAGGCCUGAUCCAUCUUCUAUACAGAUUAAGAUUUUGUGCUUAGUCCAGAAAGCCAUAGUAGGUUACGUAGACUGUACUUUACAGCUACAUAUAAAGAUUUUGUGCUUAGUCCAGAAAGCCAUAGUAGGUUAUGUAGACUGGUAGUUUACAGUUACAUAUAAGAUUUUGUGCUUAGUCCAAAAAGCCAUAGUAGGUUAUGUAGACUGAUACUUUACAGCUACAUGUAAGUAAUAUUGACGAUUUAAUGUACUAGUACUAGUAUGUUCCUCUGGCCAUGUCAUGCAUACUUCCUUUAUUUCAUCAGAUUUAUUUAUUUAUUUUUUUCUUUCACCAAUAUCAUCCAAAUGGUAAUGUUGUUUAAUGGUACAGUAACUGCUUAUUAAUUAUUAUUAUUAUUAUUACUAUUACAAUUCAUGGCUAUUUAUUUUGUUUUAAUCCUUAUUUUCAUUACAACACCCUUUUCUUCACCAUUAUUUGCUUCGCUAAUUAUAUCCUGUUCGGCAUCACAAAUUAUAUAUUGGUACCUUAAUCUUUUGUCUAACGGACAUUAUGAAGCACCUUAUACCAUGCAUACAUUAUUCUCUUUAUUAGUUUUGCAUUAUCUUUUUUUAUAUACAAAUUUACAAUAAUUCCUCAAAUGGAUAGGUAAUAAUGUGCUGGCUUUUGUACACUUUCAUACAAGCAUGCAUUAUUCUGAGUAGCUAGUGAAUACAACAGCAUUUUCUCAUUAUUACUGGAUCCUAAAUUGUUUGACCCUUUUCAGUAGGUAAUUAGUGCCAUUUUUAUUGUUUUUUUUUGUAUUUUGUUAAUUAUCUCCAUGAACACUUAUUUCAUUUUCCCUUUUACAUUUAGAUUAGAUUUUGUGCAUAGCUCUAAUAGCCAUAGUAAGUUAUGGGACUGGUACAUGUACAUUUAGAGGUAAGCAACAUUGACAAAUUCAUGUAUGUUCCUCUGUCAUGUCAUGCAUGCCCUUUUUAUUUCAUUUUAUUCAUUUUUUCCACCAAUAUCAUUAUCUAAAUGGUAACGUUAUUUGUAACUGUUAUUACUCAUUACAAUGCUUGAUUAAGUUUUUUAUUAUUUUAUUUUCUUUUUAAUUCUUAUCUUAUUUCAACACCCUUUUAUUGACCAUUUCUCGCUAUGCUAAUCAUAUCCUGGCUGGUAUCACAAAUUUUAUAUUGCUACCUUAUUAUUUUGUCCUAAUUAACAUAAUGAAUUUGUUCACACCAUGCUUACAUUCUUUUAUUUUAGUAUUUAGCAUCAUAUUAUUGAACGUUCAAAUAUCAUUGCCUCAAACGGAUGAAUAUCUUCAUGCAUCUAUUAUUCAUCUAUCUGUAAUAUCUAGUGAUCUACUCUAGUUAUUUACAUAAGUUCCUCUUCGUGUGGCCGAAACCUGGCUUGGUAUCAUUGCAUAUAUUUUUCACCUUCUCUUGAAAGUUGAUUCUAUCAUGCAUGCCCUUUUAGUAAUUUGAAAUCACUGUUUUUGUUUCGUUAAUUCUUAAUUCUUUUUUUUCCUCACCUUCAUAUGCAAUACCAAUUUUUACCCAAUUUUAAAAAUUAGUUUAAGUCCUGUGUUCAGUAGCUCUUGAUCAUGCCAAGCAUGCUUGCAUCAUUAUUUAACAUUCCUUGUUCGCCCUUGCAAUAACUACAUUACCUAAUUAGAGAAUAAGUAAAUAUCUGUGUUUAGUUGUGAGCCCGUGGCCAUGCUUGCAAAACAUGCUCGCAUCACUAUUUGUCUGUUCAACUAUAGAUCUCAAGUUGAAUAAUCGACAUCUUGUUUUAUUUCUAUCGUAAUGACCACCCUUUUUUGAUAUUGGCUUCUAAUGACUGGUUUUACCAGAAUGGCAUUUUUUUCUAUUAUCUAUUUGUGUUUAAACAUUUGGGCAUGAUCCUUCUUUCAAUUCGUUCACUGCCAACCUUUUGUUCGCUCUCGCCGCACCUAUAAAAUAAUUACUGAGAAUUUGG